rnacentral:tRNA from 1 species
GCUGUGGCUCAGUGGUAGAGUGUUUACCUAGCAUGUGUGAGACCUUGGUUCAAUCCUCAGCAUGGCA